UGUUAUAACACAUACACCCACAAAUAAGAGAAAGAACGGGAGAAAGGGAGGAGAACAGAAAUCAAAAGAGGAGCGAUUGAAGAAGAAAGGAAGAAGAAGAAAGGGAAAAGAAGAGACGAUGCCAGCAGGGGUGGGCGCUACUGUUGCCAUCGCAGAGAAAAGAAUAGAUGCGCGAGAGAGAUGAGAGUGAGAUCACAGGCCUUCCACAGAGAAAGAGGAAAGUGCGUGACGUAGAAGAGGGAGGAGGGAGUCUUGUCAUCGUCGCUGUGCCCGUCGCCGCCCACUGCAGUUGAUUGAGACUGUCGCCGCCCUGGUUGAGGUCAUCAUCGUUGCCAACUAGGGCAGAGAAGGAGGACGCGAAUGGGAGGGAGAAAGGGGAGCUCUGCUGGAGCUCGUCGCCAAAGUGCUGCCGCCUUCCACCACCGUGACACAGAGCCAGCCUUCUGUUUCUCCACCGACAUUGGGGUUGCCUCCGUUGCAGGUGGAGGAGGUCACCGGAGAAGGAUUGUUCUGUUCUGCUUCUAGUUUUGGUUUUCCAUUGAUUGCCGGAGUCUCUAGGGCCAUGAAAGUUGCUGCCGGAGUCGUCGCCGCCAAGAGCCACCACUGCUAUACCUUUCCCUUGAAGUGGUAGCGAUGCUGCUGUUGUUGUCGAGAUGACAUUCGAGACGUAGUCGUUGGUGCUGUUUGAAUUGAAGUUGCUGCCACUGGCUCGGUCCAAACUCUGUGUUCUGUCGUUCCAUUCUAUUCCAACCUUUCUCAGCUUUUAAUUCGGCAUUUUGGGUUCGGUUUCUUCGGUCCCUUAGGACCAAGUUGUGAGUAGGCUUUACAUUUAUAAUUGUUUGGCUUUACGUCUAUAAAUAUUUUUUUUUAUAUACGGUGCUUUGAAUUUAGUUAUACUUACAAAGAUUAUUAUCAAAGGAUUUUAAAUUGGUUUUACUAAUUGAGUUAUUAGAACUAUAUAUUUAUCAUUGUUAAGCUCAUUCUAAUAUGCAUUCUAAUAUGCACAUGAGACUAUAUAUUUUUAUGAGACUAUAUGUAUGUUUGAAGAAGUUUUAUAUUAUUUUAAAGCAUUUGAUUCUACUCGAAUAUGUAUUUUUGAAGCAUUGAA